ACCACCCUCUUCCUUCCCCUCUCCUGGCCGAUCUGUUACUGUCGCGCAAGAGUAGCUCGAUUCUUGGGUAGGUGCUGUUGGCCUCCAAGAUUGGUUCUUGAUUGAUCUGAUGCUAUUUCGUGUUCCCUGGCCGGGCAUAUAGACUGCUGGGCUCGAUUCUUGGGUACGAGCUGUUGACCGUCUGUGUUUCCUGCGCAGGAGUAGUUUGAUGAAUACGUGCAUACUUUCUUUCUGUAGAUUCAGGUGGUUAGUUAGAACCAUGUGAAAAUUGGCAUGUGCUACUCUUUCUGUAGAUUCUGGCCACCAACAUGAUUAAUCAAUGCGUAUUAGUUGCAACUGGUAUCACUUUGUUUCUUUAUCAUUAGUCUGAAUGGUCGUAAUUGCAGUUGUCCUCCAAUUAAGUAGGAGUAGCUAUGUUGUUGGUUUGCUGAACAAGUUCAGGAAAUGAUUGUCUGAACUUCAGUUGCUGACUCUGUUAGCAGUAGUUAUAUCUGAUUGCCAAGGAUGACACAACUGACUGAACUAAUAACUGUGGUGAUUACUGGUGUGCUUAGGGUGUUUUCCUUUGGGUGUUAGUUCAUUCAUUAAGUUCUGCUUUUUUAUUGAUGUAUGUACCAAGCUGAAUGCCAUACAUGAGCUCCAAUAUGUCUGUUCUAAGAGAUUUACCUGAUAAUACUAUAUGCUAAUAUUAAGUUAUUUUUGUUACAGUCAAGGACACAGUUAGAAUGCUUGCAUGGUAGAGCUGACGAGUUCAAGGAAUAUGGCUACAAUGCAGUCCUUAUGCAAUCUGAUUCUGUCAAGUAUGCUCUUAUGCAACAUGUGCUAUUUUUUUUUUCUACUGCAGCCAUUUGUGGAGAGUUUAUCUAAAUGCCUAAAGCAUGGACUUUACAAUCCACUUAAAGCAAGAUCAAAGUAUUGCAGAUGCGAUAUACAUCACUAACAGUGUUUCAUUCUCCUUUGUAAUUUUUGACAUUCCUGUUUUCUGCCUUUAUUGAUAUAAAAUUUGGUUACUUAUUCUGUCUCAAGUCUAAACUUUACUAUCAGCUUUGCUUGUGUUUGCUUGGUCCAAAAUACUCCCUUGUUCAGACUGGUUCUUUUGUUGCAUAAUAUUUUAAGGACCAUAUUCAUUUGUUGAACUCUACUAAAAGUUCUCUUCUUUUAUGCUGAAACAACAUGUCACUAGCAAUGUUCUCACUAGAGUUAUUCUACUCAGUUUUUUUUGAACUUUACAUAGAAGUAGUAGCAAGCAUGUAAUCCCAUAGAGUUAAUUUCAUAAUCCAUAAUAGACUGAUCUAGCCGAUAAGCUGAUUUCCUGCUACUUGAAACAUGAGCUUUGCUAAUGGCUGAUGAGACACUUCCCUGGUAGAUCAGAGACAAUAUUUCCCUCUACCAUUUUUUCAUUCUUUCUGCUAAAAACUCAUGAGAGGCUUACCUGUUGGAUCAGGAAGUAAAUAUAAGUUAGAUAUUGUUAUAUACUCACAAAGCUUCUAUAGGAUAAGUUUGCAUCUAUACUCUUUUUUUUCGGAUAGAUAGAAUGUGCUUUACUCAAAACAAAAAUAUUCGCCAUUUGUCGAGGAUCCACAGACCACAGGUCAAUCUGGUAAACUUAUGGAUGCAAGAAGAAUUGAUGACCCGGUGUUGGGUAGAGAUAGCUGCAUCAGAUGUCCAGACCAUUCCAUUGCCUGUGGUCAAAACUGUGCUCUUUGGUGGAUUUGGCUUAUCAUAUAACCACAAAACUGAAAUUGAUGAGAUGAGGAAGCAGAAUAAAGUCGUGGUGGUGUUUUCCUAUUAAGAGCACCUUUGCUGGCAAGAUAGAAUCACUUGGUGCUUAGGCCACCAACGACGGCAGUCUAUCCCAAAUUAUUUGCAUUGCUCAAUUCCCCAGAGGGUUGCCACCUAAUUCACUUUGGUCACGUGGACAUUGCGUGAUCUUAUCCAGAGCUCUACCAUUGCGAUGUGAUAGCAACAGGAACUUUCAGGCUUGCCAAGGAAACAGAAAAGAACCAAAAUAGCGCUCAUGAUGUACACUGCCUGGAACAUCUCGUAGGAGAGGAACCAGCACAUUUUCGAGUUCACUCAGACGGAUACGGUUCAGGUGACCCGAAAGUUCAUCUCUACUUCAACGAAGAUGCAACAUUCUAAACAACCUAGGAAAAUGUGAGAGUUCUAAGGAAUUGGUUGGUCAUAGAUCUACUGAAGUGGUUAUGGAACGAGGUCCAAGUUAACAUUCCUGAAGAUAUAGCUGGAGCUCUAAAGAACAUAUGUAACACCUGAGUGGAGAAAUAUAUCUAUUUAAAUUAAUCCCAUACCAUGGCUGAUCUGAGCAAGAAAUAUGGAUGGAUCUUGCUACAUUUUUUAAGUCUUGCAUGCUGGUGUUGGCCAUAUUUUAAAUUCUCAUAUCAGUCAAUAAUCAACAUUAAUGGAUUGAGACAAGUUCUUAUGCUACAUUA